UGCAAGUCGAACGGUGAACGACCAGCUUGCUGGUCUGAUCAGUGGCGAACGGGUGAGUUAACACGUGAGCAACCUGCCCCUGACUCUGGGAUAACGACCGGAAACGGUCGCUAAUACCGGAUAUGAGACGUACAGGCAUCUGUUGCGUCUGGAAAGUUUUUCGGUCAGGGAUGGGCUCGCGGCCUAUCAGCUUGUUGGUGGGGUAACGGCCUACCAAGGCGACGACGGGUAGCCGGCCUGAGAGGGCGACCGGCCACACUGGGACUGAGACACGGCCCAGACUCCUACGGGAGGCAGCAGUGGGGAAUAUUGCACAAUGGGCGCAAGCCUGAUGCAGCGACGCCGCGUGAGGGAUGACGGCCUUCGGGUUGUAAACCUCUUUCAGCAGGGAAGAAGCGCAAGUGACGGUACCUGCAGAAGAAGCGCCGGCUAACUACGUGCCAGCAGCCGCGGUAAUACGUAGGGCGCAAGCGUUGUCCGGAAUUAUUGGGCGUAAAGAGCUCGUAGGCGGUUUGUCGCGUCUGCUGUGAAAACCUCAGGCUCAACCUGGGGCUUGCAGUGGGUACGGGCAGACUAGAGUGCGGUAGGGGUGACUGGAAUUCCUGGUGUAGCGGUGGAAUGCGCAGAUAUCAGGAGGAACACCGAUGGCGAAGGCAGGUCACUGGGCCGCAACUGACGCUGAGGAGCGAAAGCAUGGGGAGCGAACAGGAUUAGAUACCCUGGUAGUCCAUGCCGUAAACGUUGGGCACUAGGUGUGGGGCUCAUUCCACGAGCUCUGUGCCGCAGCAAACGCAUUAAGUGCCCCGCCUGGGGAGUACGGCCGCAAGGCUAAAACUCAAAGAAAUUGACGGGGGCCC
rnacentral:rRNA from 1 species